rnacentral:piRNA from 1 species
UUNCAGGUUUCAGGGUGUCACUGCCUUAU